GACCGGCGCACGGGUGCGUAACGCGUAUAGAAUCUACCUUUUGCUGAGGAAUAGCCCAGAGAAAUUUGGAUUAAUGCCUCAUAGUAUGCAGACUCCUCAUGGAGAUUGUAUUAAAGGUUACGGCAAAAGAUGACUAUGCGUCCUAUUAGCUAGAUGGUAAGGUAACGGCUUACCAUGGCAACGAUAGGUAGGGGCCCUGAGAGGGGGAUCCCCCACACUGGUACUGAGACACGGACCAGACUCCUACGGGAGGCAGCAGUGAGGAAUAUUGGACAAUGGAGGCAACUCUGAUCCAGCCAUGCCGCGUGCAGGAAGACUGCCCUAUGGGUUGUAAACUGCUUUUAUACAGGAAGAAACAUCUCUACGUGUAGAGACUUGACGGUACUGUAAGAAUAAGGAUCGGCUAACUCCGUGCCAGCAGCCGCGGUAAUACGGAGGAUCCAAGCGUUAUCCGGAAUCAUUGGGUUUAAAGGGUCCGUAGGUGGAUAAUUAAGUCAGAGGUGAAAGUCUGCAGCUCAACUGUAGAAUUGCCUUUGAUACUGGUUAUCUUGAAUUAUUAUGAAGUAGUUAGGAUAUGUAGUGUAGCGGUGAAAUGCAUAGAUAUUACAUAGAAUACCAAUUGCGAAGGCAGAUUACUAAUAAUCAAUUGACACUGAUGGACGAAAGCGUAGGUAGCGAACGGGAUUAGAUACCCCGGUAGUCUACGCCGUAACGAUGGAUACUAGCUGUUGGACUUCGGUUCAGUGGCUAAGCGAAAGUGAUAAGUAUCCCACCUGGGGAGU
rnacentral:rRNA from 1 species